rnacentral:rRNA from 1 species
CCUACGAGAGGCAUCAGUCGAGCAUCAUUCACAAUGGGGGAAACCCUGAUGGUGCGACGCCGCGUGGGGGAAUGAAGGUCUUCGGAUUGUAAACCCCUGUCAUGUGGGCGCAAAUUAAAAAGAUAGUACCACAAGAGGAAGAGACGGCUAACUCUGUGACCGCAGCCGCGGGAAUACAGAGGUCUCAAGCGUGGUUCGGAAUCACGGGGCGUAAAGCGUGCGUAGGCUGUUUCGUAAGUCUUGUGUGAAAGGCGCGGGCUCAACCCGCGGACGGCACAUGAUACUGCGAGACUAGAGUAAUGGAGGGGGAACCGGAAUUCUCGGUGUAGCAGUGAAAUGCGUAGAUAUCGAGAGGAACACUCGUGGCGAAGGCGGGUUCCUGGACAUUAACUGACGCUGAGGCACGAAGGCCAGGGGAGCGAAAGGGAUUAGAUACCCUUGUAGUC